UUGCGACGGGUGAACUCAAAUCAUGUAAGGUCUUAGGGGUCGAACAGACCCCACCCUUCCCCGGCACCUNCGCCGGCAGGUUCCUCAAUUCAACAUCGAGGUGAUAAGCAAUCUUCGAUAGUGCUCUAAGAUUAAAUUAUCCUGUUAUCCCUAGAGUAGCUUUUAUUUAAUAAUCAUUGUCCGAGUUUAAUGAAACAAUGGGUCAUAAGUCUGCUUCGCAACUGUUAAAGUAAUUACUUAGCAGUAAUUAGUUAUGUUCUUUCUUUAAAACAUCGUUGCCCUAANUAAACUACCUCGUAUCGACUUAGAUUGUUGUUNCAGAUUUAAAGUCGAUUACUAUANUGUGAAGCUUCAUAGGDUCUUCUCGUCUUACAAUUUUNAAAUAGCAUCUUCACUAUUAGUUCAAUUUUAUUAAAUUUCUUUUAAGACAGUGAAGGCCUCGUAAAGCCAUUCAUACUAUCCCUCAAUUAAAGGGCUCAUUAUUGUGCUACAUUACGACCGUCAGGAAUACAGCCGCCAUUCAACAGAAUAACUUUUUUUAAGAAGAUGUUUUUUCDUUGGUUGGG
rnacentral:rRNA from 1 species